CCUACGGGAGGCAGCAGUAGGGAAUCUUUCACAAUGGGCGAAAGCCUGAUGGAGCAACGCCGCGUGCAGGAUGAAGGCCUUCGGGUUGUAAACUGCUUUUAUAAGCGAGAAAUAUGAUGGUAACUUAUGAAUAAGGAUCGGCUAACUACGUGCCAGCAGCCGCGGUCAUACGUAGGAUCCGAGCAUUAUCCGGAUUAAAUGGGUGUAAAGAGUUGGUUAGGUGGCAUAUAAAGUGCUAGUGAAAACUGGUGGGUCAACCAUUCAGACUUUUAGCUAAACUGUUAAGCUCGAGACCCGUAGGGGUAACUGGAAUUUCUAGUGUAGGAGUGAAAUCCGUAGAUAUUAGAAGGAACACCAAUGGCGUAGGCAGGUUACUGGGACGGUUCUGACACUAAGGCACGAAAGCGUAGGGAGCAAACGGGAUUAGAUACCCCUGUAGUC
rnacentral:rRNA from 1 species